UCCAGAGCUCGCUAAUUACAUAUCUGCCACUGGGUUAUAUUCAUUCAUAUGUUACAAUAUAACCCAAGUGGUAGAUAUGUAAUUAGCGAGCUCUGGAAUUU
rnacentral:miRNA from 1 species